rnacentral:rRNA from 1 species
CCUACGGGGGGCAGCAGUAGGGAAUAUUGCUCAAUGGGGGAAACCCGGAAGCAGCAACGCCGCGAGGAGGAUGAAGGUGUUCGGAUUGUAAACGCCGUUUGUUAGAGAAGAGAAUGACGGUAGCUAACGAAUAAGCACCGGCUAACUCCGUGCCAGCAGCCGCGGUAAUACGGAGGGUGCAAGCGUUACUCGGAAUCACUGGGCGUAAAGAGCGCGUAGGCGGGAUAGCAAGUCAGAUGUGAAAUCCUAUGGCUUAACCAUAGAACUGCAUUUGAAACUGUUAUUCUAGAGUAUGGGAGAGGUAGGUGUAAUUCUUGGUGUAGGGGUCACCUCCGUAGAGCUCCCG